rnacentral:rRNA from 1 species
CACGUAGGGUGCGAGCGUUGUCCGGAAUUAUUGGGCGUAAAGAGCUCGUAGGCGGUGUGUCACGUCGGCCGUGAAAACCUGCAGCUUAACUGUGGGCUUGCGGUCGAUACGGGCAUCACUGGAGUUCGGCAGGGGAGACUGGAAUUCCUGGUGUAGCGGUGAAAUGCGCAGAUAUCAGGAGGAACACCGGUGGCGAAGGCGGGUCUCUGGGCCGAUACUGACGCUGAGGCACGAAGGCCAGGGGAGCAAACGGG